ACUACUGGAAACGGUAGCUAAUACCGCAUAACGUCGCAAGACCAAAGAGGGGGACCUUCGGGCCUCUUGCCAUCGGAUGUGCCCAGAUGGGAUUAGCUAGUAGGUGGGGUAAAGGCUCACCUAGGCGACGAUCCCUAGCUGGUCUGAGAGGAUGACCAGCCACACUGGAACUGAGACACGGUCCAGACUCCUACGGGAGGCAGCAUG
rnacentral:rRNA from 1 species